AGUGAACGCUGGCGGUAGGCCUAACACAUGCAAGUCGAACGGCAGCACAGUAAGAGCUUGCUCUUACGGGUGGCGAGUGGCGGACGGGUGAGGAAUACAUCGGAAUCUACUUUUUCGUGGGGGAUAACGUAGGGAAACUUACGCUAAUACCGCAUACGACCUACGGGUGAAAGCAGGGGAUCUUCGGCCCUUGCGCGAUUGAAUGAGCCGAUUUCGGAUUAGCUAGUUGGCGGGGUAAAGGCCCACCAAGGCGACGAUCCGUAGCUGGUCUGAGAGGAUGAUCAGCCACACUGGAACUGAGACACGGUCCAGACUCCUACGGGAGGCAGCAGUGGGGAAUAUUGGACAAUGGGCGCAAGCCUGAUCCAGCCAUACCGCGUGGGUGAAGAAGGCCUUCGGGUUGUAAAGCCCUUUUGUUGGGAAAGAAAAGCAGCAGGUUAAUACCCCGCUGUUCUGACGGUACCCAAAGAAUAAGCACCGGCUAACUUCGUG
rnacentral:rRNA from 1 species